rnacentral:ncRNA from 2 species
AAAAACAACUCUGGAAAGUCGGGAAAAGCCCGCGCCGAAGGUGUAAGUGGAUGUUGUCACGAGUCUCUCAGGCAUCAGACAGAGGGGCGUUC